AUGUAUCUCAGACAGACCUGCGGCAGUGAGUGUUGCUGAGGUUUCCACUACAGAUGCAAGAACAAGAAGGUCCUCCUGCUUUCUGUCUGUCUGGAUGUGGCAGCCAAGAUUGAAAGGGGGAAUACAGGA
rnacentral:snoRNA from 1 species